CAGGAAGCCCAGUAAAUUUGAAUGUCAAAUAAACAAUGAAUAAUUGUUAGAGUAAGUAGGUCCCAUGCAAUAUUUGGGACACACUUAUUCUAAAAAAAAAUUUAUUUAUCUGAAAAUCAAAUUUAACUGGACAUCCUGUA
rnacentral:miRNA from 1 species